CGUCAAGGAAAUUUCGGGCUAUGUAAGGUCAAAGGAAGAAUUUGACCAAUUAGGUAACUUAUGUUUGUCUGGCAUCAAGAUCAAAUGGAUUUGCUUUUUCCACGAGAAGUACAGGUUCAUACCCUGAUCAACCGACUCUAGGCCUAGUGAGAUUUCAAGUUUGCGUACCUCUAACCAACAUUCGCAAAAUGCAUUGGAGUGUGGUCACAGAUCUCUCUAUUACGUAAUAAAUAAAUCCAGCGGUGAACAGAAGACUGAAGAAGGAACAUCACAGGGGCUGUUACUUAGACCUUUCUAAAGCAUUGAUGAAUAUUUGUUUUGGCAGCAACGACUACGUUACAAGUUAAAUCAUCUUUCUACUGCAAGGACUCCAAUC